AUACGUAGGGUGCGAGCGUUGUCCGGAAUUACUGGGCGUAAAGAGCUCGUAGGUGGUUUGUCGCGUCGUCUGUGAAAUUCCGGGGCUUAACUCCGGGCGUGCAGGCGAUACGGGCAUAACUUGAGUACUGUAGGGGAGACUGGAAUUCCUGGUGUAGCGGUGAAAUGCGCAGAUAUCAGGAGGAACACCGGUGGCGAAGGCGGGUCUCUGGGCAGUAACUGACGCUGAGGAGCGAAAGCAUGGGUAGCGAACAGGAUUAGAUGCCCUGGUAGUCCAUGCCGUAAACGGUGGGCGCUAGGUGUAGGGGUCUUCCACGACUUCUGUGCCGUAGCUAACGCAUUAAGCGCCCCGCCUGGGGAGUACGGCCGCAAGGCUAAAACUCAAAGGAAUUGACGGGG
rnacentral:rRNA from 1 species